CCUCAACAAGCCACGCCGCCAUUGGGCAAAGCGGCGAAAGCCAGGCAGCCAAUGAGAGGACGAGGUGUUCUAGCGGCCAUGACACUAGAGACUUGAAGUGCCCCUCAAAAGACUCCAGGUGCCCCUCGGAAAACGCCAGCUUUCAGCUUUCACUCGGUUUUUGGCUGCAGAAAAAUAACGGUACCGUUCUGCUGCAGUGAGCUUGGAAAACCCACAGCAGGGCAGAAUGGCGUGAAUGCUACAGGAUUCCUAUUUGGGGGCUUAUCUUGUGACUCACGUUUGCACGCCUGAGUGCUCACAUGGUGUAGCACCUUGCAUCUCCCUUGAAAGGAUCUCAAGGCAUUGCAGCACCCGGCUUGAGCCUCACUGGUUUAAGUAGGCAGUCACACAGCUUGUACCCCAAAAUGUGCGCUUCUUACUUUGUUCUUUACAUCUGUGUUUUGUUCUGGUUAUGUGUUUGUGUUAAUAAAUAAUUAAAAAGGGGGAGGGGGUGGAAUUGGCCUGUACAUUAGACUAUCUCUAGCUUUCUGAUUCCUUUCCACCUAGAGCAGUGGUUCUCAACCUCAGGUCGUGACCCAAAUGAGAGUUGCAGGGACAAUGCAUUUGAUAUCUGGACUCCAAUACCUUGUACUGAAAUGCUCAAGCCUAGUCUUCACGCAGAGGAACAGAGACGUACUGAUCAAUGUCACAUUUUCCCCCCAUUUAAGUCAUAAGCUUGAAGAGUAGUUGAUUAAAAAAAACAAUAGAUUGCAUGACUGUUCUUGUGAUUAAAACUGUUCAAAACCAAAUAUUGAGCAGAGACUGUUUUGAAGAAGUUAGAACUAUUUUUUUCUGAAUAGGAUUUGGGUGUCUUAAAAAUAGGUUUUAAAAAUAGCAAUUACUUUUUUAUUGGAAAUAGUUUCUUUUAAGCCCACUGAAAUGAGAUACCACCCACUCCCCCCACAGAGAUUUCAGCUUUAAAAUUCUUAAUAGAAAAAUGGAAACAGAAAAGAAAACAUUUGUUUUCUCAAUAAUUUUCUUGGAAUUUGGUUUUUAACUAGCUAUAAUUUGCCCAUAUCUCACACAUUUAAAAUACAGUCAAGUAUUUUUUUCUAAAUGCUAGCCCUACAAAUCCAGGCUGCAAUCAGAGUUUCUUCCUGGAUUAUAAAUUGUCAGCAAUAAAAUCCUAUUGUCAGCUCUCACCAUUACGUCCGUGCUAUUUGUGUGAUUUGUCCCUGCUAUUGGAAUUUAAUUCUCAAUUCUGCAACUGAUGCAAGCUAGGAUAGUCUCUAGCCACCACUAUCUGAACUGAGUUAGCUCUGCAAGCUAAGAGCAACAAUUAUUUUGACCAGUGAAUUAAUAAGGUCUCACUGGGAAGAUUGUAACAAUUUUAUAUAUGCAUUUUUUGGAAUAGAACAAGUUUUGUGGGGCUUUUUUUUAGCAGCAAGCAUCUUGAAUCAUCAAGAUAGCAAGUGAGAGAAUAGAAGGAGGGGUAUUAAGAUCCUACGAAGUGGUGAAAAUGUGAGUCUGUUUUCUCAUUCAAGGCUACAUAGUAACUAGAUAAGGACAAACUUAAAUUCAGCUCUUUUGACUUCUCAGCAUGGCCUUUAACUGUAGCUGUGCCACCAGGAGCCUUAUUGAUUUAUUUAUAUAGAAAGGAAUUCUAGUGAUACUAAAUUCAAUGACUGCAGUAUCAGGCCUUGUAUUAUUAAGAUAUAGAGAAGCAAUUUUUUUACCGUUGUAUACUGAGGAUUUGCUAGUGGACCGAUAGAUGAGUUGUUUACACCUAAAUAAAUACCAGAAGUUGAA